rnacentral:lncRNA from 1 species
CCUUAAAGCAGCUAAUUACUUCGCUCCCACCAAUUUUGAUGGGAGUUAAAAGCCUGCAUCUCCAUGAGAACUAGAGAUUAACCACCCAAGAUUUGUUUCAAUCAAACCUCUGUCAGAUAACAUCACUGGAUGCAUUCAUUUUGUCUGUGGGCGUUUCGUGCCUCACUGUCAACUCCUCCUGCAAAGGAAUCAGGAACACUGCUUUAAGGAGGAAAUGGAGAUGUACAGUCAGUGUGCACAGAAGACAUGGCAAGUAGGCUCCAAAGACAGAGUAGACUUAAAAGAACUCCAGCAGUUUCUGCUUUUAUGCUUGGCUUCUCUGUGCCUUCGUCAUCUAUUUCUAGAAAAAAUGAAGCUGAGACUUUUGAGGAUACGUGAAGUCAUCUGUUGGUAGCCUCCAUGGUUAGCUCAUCUGUAACCCCAAGCCACUUGGAUCUUGGAAAUGCGUCCUGCAUCCAGCACUGAACAGAGGCCUAACAAUGUCAUGUCUCCUUUUGGGAGGUGUGGAAAUUCAAACCCAAACUUCAAAGCUAUAGAUAUCUGAUUCCUUAAGCCUUCUCCAUCGCUUACACACCCUUCCCCACUCC